UUAACUUAAAUACUAAAUCACACACGUAUCGACACAUUUUUCGGGGUGCUUUCUCAUUCUUAACAGAAGUUAGAAAGUCGAAACAUGGGAUGCGUGGAGGUCUAAC
rnacentral:sRNA from 1 species